UACGUAGGUGGCAAGCGUUGUCCGGAAUUAUUGGGCGUAAAGCGCGCGCAGGCGGUCCUUUAAGUCUGAUGUGAAAGUCCACGGCUCAACCGUGGAGGGUCAUUGGAAACUGGGGGACUUGAGUGCAGAAGAGGAAAGUGGAAUUCCACGUGUAGCGGUGAAAUGCGUAGAGAUGUGGAGGAACACCAGUGGCGAAGGCGACUUUCUGGUCUGUAACUGACGCUGAGGCGCGAAAGCGUGGGGAGCAAACAGG
rnacentral:rRNA from 1 species